rnacentral:rRNA from 1 species
CAGCCGCCACGGGAAUACAGAGGGUGCGAGCGUUAAUCGGAUUUACUGGGCGUAAAGCGUGCGUAGGCGGCUUCUUAAGUCGGAUGUGAAAUCCCUGAGCUUAACUUAGGAAUUGCAUUCGAUACUGGGAAGCUAGAGUAUGGGAGAGGAUGGUAGAAUUCCAGGUGUAGCGGUGAAAUGCGUAGAGAUCUGGAGGAAUACCGAUGGCGAAGGCAGCCAUCUGGCCUAAUACUGACGCUGAGGUACGAAAGCAUGGGGAGCAAACAGGAUUAGAUACCCCGGUAGUCCCUGUCUCUUAUAU